rnacentral:lncRNA from 1 species
GGCGGCCGGUCAGGUCCCGAAGCCUCCGUGCGCGGCAUGCGGCCGUCCAGCGAGCCGGCCGCUGGGCCAGGAUCUUUACUGCGCCGCAUGCUAUAGUGAGGCACUGCUGCUGUCGCCGAGCCUGGCGCCCUCAAGGUGCUCCCCGGCGCCCAGCACGUGCUCGUCUGGUUCGUGGAGCCUAGUUACGGCGCGCACACCCAGCCAUGUUGGAGCCAGCCCGCGCAGUUCCAGCCUCGGAUACGGCGGCGGCGAGGUCUGCGCACGUUGCCACGAUACGGUCUACUUCGCCGAGAGGCAGGUGGGCACAGCCGGGCGCGUGUACCACGUGCGCUGCUUUCGGUGCCGGGCGUGCGAGCAGCGGCUGGCCUCGGGCUCCUACCGAUCGGACGGCGGGGAGCUCUACUGCGAGCCCUGCCACCGGCGGCAUCUAGGGCCCAGGGGCUAUGGCUACGGACUCGGCUCGGCCUUGCGAUGCUUCCCGGGACGCCUCUGAAGACGCCGUGCAGGGAAGCAGCAACCUCAAGGCCCUGUCGUCCAGAUCACAAUGACAGCCUGCGCUUGAAAAACUGAAACAAGAAAAAAAAUUCGAGAUAGGGUGAGGUUAUGCAAAUGGUAGACCAAAAUUUUUCC